rnacentral:misc_RNA from 1 species
AAGUCGUAACAAGGUCUCCGUAGGUGAACCUGCGGAGGGAUCAUUACACAAAUAUAAAAGCGGGCUGGAACCUCUCGGGGUUACAGCCUUGCUGAAUUAUUCACCCUUGUCUUUUGCGUACUUCUUGUUUCCUUGGUGGGUUCGCCCACCACUAGGACAAACAUAAACCUUUUGUAAUUGCAAUCAGCGUCAGUAACAAAUUAAUAAUUACAACUUUCAACAACGGAUCUCUUGGUUCUG